UGAGCCUUUCUCAAUAGUAAAAUAUGACCUCUGUGGGAGGAUGUGGGACAAUCCGAGCCUGGGCUGACAGAGUAACCUGGAACACUGGGACUGAACACAAACAAGGACAUUGCAGCUUGAAGAAGAGAAAAACCUGACAGAAGCAACAUGUAUCUAAGUGUCUUGGCUUUGAGCCAGAACAAGGAAUCCAAUUAUACUUCUCUGCGGACAGGUUUGUUUCUUUGGUAAGUGCAUUUGUUUUGCUUUAAUCCCAUGGAAAUAAAUGAGAGAAUAAAAACCAGGUUGAGAGUCAGCCUUUCAUUCACGAUUUUUCUUUCGAGGGCAUCAAGAUGGAAAAGAUCCUUUGGAGCUUGAAGAACGGUGUAAUUUGUAGAAGAGCUAAUUAAAGCUUAUAACCUGAGUUACAUCUCUGGAACUCUAAAAGCUAAGCAAAGACCUUAAACCCACAGGACUAGAGGAUCCUUGCCCCAUCUAUGUGAUGCAUUCUGCGUACUAACUCCCCCAUACAGGGACAUGCUGUUCCACUGACCUAGCUAUCUCUAGUUGUAGUUACUCUUCUAUAAAGGAUGAGAGUCUUUGCAACCAAGCCUGAAUAACAACAAAUGCCUCUCACUCACAGCUUCUGGCUUGCACUUUAUCCUUUUUUGCCUGUAUUAUAUGCUUGUAAGGAGAUUUCUAUAUCAAUAAAUUGCAUUUUACCCCUUGGUUCUCCGUCACAGAUAGAAGCAAUUACCAAAGGCACACAAUUAUGUUAAAUCUAGGAGCUUCUUUCACAACAUUUGAAAUCCUACAGAUUUUACAUCAUUUGUGAAGAACCUCCUUCAUUUAUUGUUAUGGCUGCCUAGUGUAGCUCUUACCCUAUGAUCUUUCCUUGGGGCUUGCAAUUAAAUGAGUAAUGAUCUUGGAAGGUUAAGUAGAUAUGAUUGUGAAAACCUAUUAAAUCCAAUUAUAUUUUUUUUUCCGUGACCAUGAAACACAAUCUCUAAAAGCUGAAGUUGUGCAACUCCCUGGAAGGCUCUCGGCUCAGCUCACUGUUGCAUCUAAUGAAAACAAAACCAAAAAUAAAACACAAGUGAUCCAUGAGGCUGUCUCUUUGAGCCUCAUUGCCUGUAAUUGUAAACAUCUGAAGUUAGGAUUUUCAGGAAAAGCUCUGCCCUGCAAUCUGUGCAGAAAGUUAAGAAUAGCCCAGCCUAAUCACUGUUUUUGUCUGAUGGCUCUCCAGACUCUUGUCACGAUUGUCUCAACACAGGUAAGUUAGGCGUCCCGUUUGGGGCACAUAAGCUCCGUUCUGAGUAGAAGAACCAUCAUCUACUGGAGUCCAGGCCAUCUGCUAUUCUUAUUUGGUCAACUAAGACACUUCGCUAGACAUUUCAACAUGACUCUCUUAAGGACUGAUUGUUUCCCCUGAGGUGAGAUGUUGACCUAGGUUGGCACAGUUGUCACCUGGGCAUGGGCGUUGUUCUGGUGGCAGUUGCACCCGAUACUAAGGAAAGGGUGACUUAUGCCACUAUCACCCGCCUUGCUUCAAAGUGGGAGGCUCUUCAGUUGCCUGGUUACCGAGCUGUCACAAGAUUUAAUGACCUGUAUAGGGUGGAACCCCUUUGGAUGAGUUGCCCUCAGAAUGUUAACAUCAGCUCCUCUUUGUCAUCCCAGUAAGCAUGAUAAUAAUAAAGUAGUGCUUCCUCUUCUAGAGGCAUUAGCUUUCCACUUAAGCUUAUGAAAGGUUUAGGCUGUUGGUCUGCUUAGAAACCUAGUUUACUCUAGUCUCAAGAACAAUGGUUCACACUAAAAGAAAAGGGGGGGAUUCAUUUCAUUGUAGUGAACAUUAGGUUUUACUAAGUACGUUUCCAUGGCUCCUGCCUCCAUCAGGCAAGCCUGUGAGUUAGACAUUGAUGGGGGGGGGUAUCUUCCCUUCCCUGUGAGCUGGAUGCUGAAAGCAUGCCUUCUCCUCUUCCUGUGACGUGAGAACUGGGGAGCAUCAUAGACUGCUAAGGCAUAAGCUUAACAUCACAUCUUACUUCAGUGUCUGCUUCUCUCGCCCAGCUCUGUCCCUUUUCCUGACUUGAUCCUCUUCCCCUCCCCUUUCUCUGCUUCUUUCUCUUUACCAAUGCCUUGAAUAUUUGGCUCUAAAAUUACUUGAUGAUGGUUUUAGGGCAAAAUGACUUAUGGCUGGUGAGAUGGCUUACAGGUCAAGGGCCCUAUCACCAAGCCUGAUGAGCUGAGGUGGAUCCCAUAGGUGGAAGAACACAACUAAAUCUUGUAAAUUGUCCCUUGAUUUACACAAGUCCUGUGGUACUAGUGCCCCCAAUAAACAAACACAUGUAAAAAAUUAAAGGACUUGAUAGCAUGCCAGGAAAGUAAACAUUACUGAAACAACCGCCCCUCUCCAUCUCCAAAUCUUCUGGAAGAGGUUGUGAAUAGUUUUUUGAGGAGCUUAAUGAUGCUGUUUCAUUGACCAUUCAAAUAUCCAGGAACCUGAAUUGUCCUUACAAGCUGACCCAAGACCACAAGCAUCUUAAAGUUGUUUUCUGCCUUGUGGACACACAGUUCAGGUUUGAUUACUCUCAGAGGUAUAAAGGGAGCUCAGAGAGAUGGUCCCUCCCUCUGCUUAAGUGUUGUCUAUUCAUAACAAAGCUGAGGCUAAAAAUAAAAUGUGAUUCAGUCCAGGUUACAGGUGUGUCCAUCAGGAGAGAAACCUUAGCUUCACAAGCCAUUUCCAUUUAAAUCAAUAAAAACAUCCUUUUGUCCAAUG
rnacentral:lncRNA from 1 species